rnacentral:lncRNA from 1 species
UGAACCCUUCCAGGCCACGCCCCCAGGACAGCCCCUCCCACCAGGCAAGGGGCUGUGUGCCCCCAUCCUCCAGUCGCGGCCAACCGCCUGAGGCUUUGGGGGCCAUUUCAGAUCUGAACCCUGUCGUGCAGCAUGAAGCUUCCCUUCUCCUCUAACAUUUCCCACCUCCUGUGGUCUCUGUGCACAUAGCAGGAUGAGGGGGCGUCUGCUGGUCCCCAAAGAGACGCAGCUCUGGCCUUUGGCGGCCGAUGAUCGAUAAUGCAGACUUGUGCGGUUUCAGCGACAUCCCGACAUCCUGGAGAGGCGGCAGAGUGAGAGCUAAGACAAGCAUGAGAUUAGGAGGCGGCAGGGUCCUCAUAGCCCAGUCCAAACUUCAG